AGUGAACGCUGGCGGUAGGCCUAACACAUGCAAGUCGAACGGCAGCACAGUAAGAGCUUGCUCUUACGGGUGGCGAGUGGCGGACGGGUGAGGAAUACAUCGGAAUCUACUUUUUCGUGGGGGAUAACGUAGGGAAACUUACGCUAAUACCGCAUACGACCUACGGGUGAAAGCAGGGGAUCUUCGGACCUUGCGCGAUUGAAUGAGCCGAUGUCGGAUUAGCUAGUUGGCGGGGUAAAGGCCCACCAAGGCGACGAUCCGUAGCUGGUCUGAGAGGAUGAUCAGCCACACUGGAACUGAGACACGGUCCAGACUCCUACGGGAGGCAGCAGUGGGGAAUAUUGGACAAUGGGCGCAAGCCUGAUCCAGCCAUACCGCGUGGGUGAAGAAGGCCUUCGGGCUGUAAAGCCCUUUUGUUGGGAAAGAAAAGCAGCAGGUUAAUACCCCGCUGUUCCGACGGUACCCAAAGAAUAAGCACCGGCUAACUUCGUG
rnacentral:rRNA from 1 species